GCGCUUAUAUUAAGCGCUAACGCUCUAACGUCUCCGCAUUUAGAAAGGCACUUUUAGAUGAAAUUGCAGAAAAUACAAGAGUUACAAUUCGACAGCCAUGGCAGCCUGGUACUAACGAGGACGCUGCAACCGUCUUGAAUCUGAAGCGGAUAACAGCAAAGACUAGCACCCACCCAUACGUCAAAAAGAGAUUUUACGUAAGGCAUGAGAAAACCGAAAGCGAAACUCUGGAAAGACACGAUGGAUGACGAGCAUCUGUCUCUGAUCGAAAGAUCACGUUGCCGUAACUAUACCGGACACGGAGCCUACGCCAAGGGAAAAUUCAUCUCCGAAAGGGGUUUCAACUGUAGGCUGUAUGUCAUCUGCUGGAGAAGAUUGAAAUGUUCUUGUGUGGAGUCUCUUGACACCUGCCUAGCGUCGGACGGACCAUUUCUAUCCAGCUGGGUGAGGCGUUAUUUGUCUGUUUAAUAUUCAGACCAGGAUACGAAUCGAUUCCCGAGAAGAAGCAAACGGUGUGGAAGAACGGAACAACGGUGCGCUGUACGCGGCGGAAAUCCGCACCGUGUCGGUAGAUGGCAGGCC